UACGGAGGGUGCAAGCGUUAUCCGGAUUUACUGGGUUUAAAGGGUGCGCAGGCGGAUAUGUAAGUCAGUGGUGAAAUCUCUGGGCUUAACCCGGAAAUUGCCAUUGAUACUAUAUAUCUUGAAUGUUGUGGAGGUAAGCGGAAUAUGUCAUGUAGCGGUGAAAUGCUUAGAUAUGACAUAGAACACCUAUUGCGAAGGCAGCUUACUACGCAGAUAUUGACGCUUCAUGCACGAAAGCGUGGGGAUCAAACAGG
rnacentral:rRNA from 1 species